GUGACCUCAAAUCAGGUAGGACUACCCGCUGAACUUAAGCAUAUCAAUAAGCGGAGGAAAAGAAACUAACAAGGAUUCCCCUAGUAACUGCGAGUGAAGCGGGAAAAGCUCAAAUUUAAAAUCUGUCAGUCUUUGGCUGUCCGAGUUGUAAUCUAGAGAAGUGUUAUCCGCGCUGGACCGUGUACAAGUCUCCUGGAAUGGAGCGUCAUAGAGGGUGAGAAUCCCGUCUUUGACACGGACUGCCAGGGCUUUGUGAUGCGCUCUCAAAGAGUCGAGUUGUUUGGGAAUGCAGCUCAAAAUGGGUGGUAAAUUCCAUCUAAAGCUAAAUAUUGGCGAGAGACCGAUAGCGAACAAGUACCGUGAGGGAAAGAUGAAAAGAACUUUGGAAAGAGAGUUAAACAGUACGUGAAAUUGCUGAAAGGGAAACGCUUGAAGUCAGUCGCGUUGUCCAGGGAUCAACCUUGCUUUUGCUUGGUGUACUCUCUGGUUGACGGGUCAGCAUCAAUUUUGACCAUUGGAAAAAGAUUAAGGGAAUGUGGCAUCCUUGGAUGUGUUAUAGCCCUUGGUUGCAUACAAUGGUUGGGAUUGAGGAACUCAGCACGCCGAAAGGCCGGGUUUUUAACCACGUACGUGCUUAGGAUGCUGGCAUAAUGGCUUUAAUCGACCCGUCUUGAAACACGGACCAAGGAGUCUAACAUGCCUGCGAGUGUUUGGGUGGAAAACCCGAGCGCGUAAUGAAAGUGAAAGUUGAGAUCCUUGUCAUGGGGAGCAUCGACGCCCGGACCAGACCUUUUGUGACGGUUCCGCGGUAGAGCAUGUAUGUUGGGACCCGAAAGAUGGUGAACUAUGCCUGAAUAGGGUGAAGCCAGAGGAAACUCUGGUGGAGGCUCGUAGCGAUUCUGACGUGCAAAUCGAUCGUCAAAUUUGGGUAUAGGGGCGAAAGACUAAUCGAACCAUCUAGUAGCUGGUUCCUGCCGA
rnacentral:rRNA from 2 species